rnacentral:lncRNA from 1 species
ACGGCCAGCGACGUCCAGGUCAUCAAUGGGAUUCUUUUUGCUCUUGUCUUGUGCGCGGGGAGCCUGCAGGAGCAGCCAGUGUAGCGGCGCCCAGGCCCCGUCCUUCUCUGGGCCUGGGUCUGUCUGCAGCAGGGGCUUUGGCCCCAGGAGGGAACCCUUGGCCUCCACAGAGCACAGAUGAGACCCAGGGAAGGUGGGACACAGGCCCGGAUGGAUGCUCAAGACAGAAAUGGUCCAGGGUCCAUCCAUCUGGUAUCUUCAAAGGGCCAAACCCCAGACAGAAAAAGCUCUUUAUUUUUU